CCUCCCCAGGAAACACAGUUGGAACCUCCUGUGCUUCCAUGUCACACGUGGCAGCCGCCCGAAGAGAAUCUGCCAUGGUGACCAUCUUCCUUCCAUGUCCAGUGUUCUCACCACUGUCCAUGGAUCCAACCUGCUUCUUACGUCCUUUUAAGAAUGCCUUGCCCAGUUCCAAGAAGUGGCAGCCUCUUACCAUUUGGGACACCUGUCCCCCCCAUAUUUACUCCCCUGGGGCCUGGGGGUCUCAGGAACAGAGAUCCUUCUCUGCUGAAGGCAUAGGGCUCCACCACAGCCUACCCAUCAGUCUCUGUUCCCUUUACUUCUUCUCACAACUGCUCUGUCACUCUUGGCUUCUGGCCAACUGCCUCCCCCAAGGUGCAGUCUCUACAUUACAGGAAGAUUUGGUUCCAUCCCGUGGCCAUGUAAGAGGAAAGUCCAGCCAAAAGGCCACUCCAAAUCAUCUCCUUUAUCUAGGACGCUUCUCAUCUGCUGGUAUUUCUUCACUCACUCACUCAAGACUCCUUCUCAUCUGCUCAUCCUCUGUCCCCUCUCAGUUCUCAGCUGGGGAGGAUCAGUGUUUCUUACAGCUUCCACUGUUUCAGCACCAACGGGGUUAAAACUUCAGCCACGGUCUGACGGCGGCUGGGCACCCUGCCCCCGCCCCAACCUUCUUCUCCAGGCCAUGAUGCCAGCACAAGUUGUUCUCCCAUGAAAUCUAUGGCACACAAUUCUCCCAUGACCUUUGACACAUCACAUCAGUUGAGCACAAGGGAAGAGGAAGGCACCUGGCAAAGGAUGUCCACAACAGAGAGAUUAACCAAACCCAAACCACAAGUGACCUGCAAUUCAGCCAAGAAGAAAUUUUUUGUGAACUCAGAGGGGAUGCUGUAAUUUGGUUUAAGAAAAUAAAACAGUUUUGUUUGAGUCUAAA